AGAGACCCAGUAGAGGUGCUGCAUGGCUGUCGUCAGCUCGUGCCGUGAGGUGUUGGGUUAAGUCCCGCACGAGCGCAACCCUUACUCUUAGUUGCCACCCGCAAGGGGGAACUCUAAGAGGACCGCUCCGGAUAACGGAGAGGAAGGUGGGGAUGACGUCAAGUCAGCAUGGCCUUUAUGUCCAGGGCUACACACGUGUUACAAUGCGCGGUACAACCGUCGCGAACCCGCGAGGGGGAGCCAAUCGGAAAAACCGCGCUCAGUUCGGAUUGCAGUCUGCAACUCGACUGCAUGAAGCCGGAAUCGCUAGUAAUGGCGUAUCAGAACGACGCCGUGAAUACGUUCCCGGGCCUUGUACACACCGCCCGUCACAUCACGAAAGUGAGCUGUACUAGAAGUCGCUGCGCUAACCGCAAGGAAGCAGGCGCCCAAGGUAUGGCCCAUGAUUGGGGUGAAGUCGUAACAAGGUAC
rnacentral:rRNA from 1 species